UGCUGUGAGUCUGAUGGGCUUCCCUUUGUGGGUGACCGAUCCUUUCUCUCUCGCUGCCCAUAGUAUUUUCUCCUUCAUUUCAACCCUGGUGAAUCUGACGAUUAUAUGCCUUGGUGUUGAUCUUUUUGUGGAUUAUUUCUGUGGUGUUCUCUGUAUUUCCUGUACUUGAAUAUUGGCCUGCCUUGCCAGGUUGGGAUAAUUUUCCUAGAUAAUAUCCUGAAAAGUAUUUUCCAACUUGGAUUCAUUCUCUUCGUCACAUUCAGGUACACCUAUCAAACUUAGAUUAGGUCUCUUCACAUAGUCCCACAUUUCUUGGAGACUGUUCAUUCUUUUUUGUGCUCUUUUCUCUAAUCUUGCCUUUUCAUUUUAUUUCAUUGAGGUGAUCUUUGACUUCUGAUAUCCUUUCUCUUGCUUAGUCAAUUCGGCUGUUGAAACUUGGGCAUGCUUCAUGAAGUUCUCAUGUUGUGUUUUUCAGCUCCUUCAAUUCACUCAUAUUCCUCUCUAAGUUUUGCAUUCUUGUUAUCAUUUCGUCAAAUCUUUUUUCAAGGUUCUUAGUUUCUUUGCAUUGAGUUAGAACAUGUUCUUUUACCUCACGGAAGUUUCUCAUUACCCACCUUCUGAAGUCUGAUUCUGUCAUUCUCUGUCCAGCUUUGUUCCCUUGCUGUUGAGGAGUUUUGGUCCUUUGUAGGAGGCGAGGUGUUCUGGUUUCGGGUGUUUUCCUCUUUUUUACACUAGUUUCUUCCUAUCUUUUUGGAUUUAUCCACCUGUUUGCCGAGUCUGAUCACCUGGCUCCCUGCCUCAGAGCCCCCCCUUUUUUUACGUUUCAGUCGCCUGCUGAAAGGGUGCCAGGAUCUGUGUGAUUUCCCAUGUGGGGACCCACUGCGCCGGCUGAAACAACUUUGCUGUCCAUGAAUCUUUUGGCCUGGGUUUCUGUACUUUACCUUGUGGGUUCAGAGGGGAGACUGCUGUUCCUAAGCCCUGUUGAGCAUCGUUUCUGGUGUGGUAGAGUUGACAGGCCGCCUGCUUAUGAUUACUCCUGACUCAUCUCUGCAGAGCAAACACACCUCACUUCUUGGACAUCACUGAAGAAUGUUCUGGUGGAAGAAAGACUCAUUCAAUGAAAGCAUUCUUUGAGGAGUUGGAAGAAGAGGAUUUAGUAAGUACAAGCAUGAUUACCAAGAAAGAAAUAAUCAGGUUUUUAGUAAUACUGGGUGACUAAAUGUGGAGGCAGGUGUGGGUAUUGUUUU